rnacentral:rRNA from 1 species
AUUGUCCGCUUGGCGGCAGGCUUACACAUGCAAGUCGAGCGGUAGAGAGAAGCUUGCUUCUCUUGAGAGCGGCGGACGGGUGAGUAAUGCCUAGGAAUCUGCCUGGUAGUGGGGGAUAACGUUCGGAAACGAACGCUAAUACCGCAUACGUCCUACGGGAGAAAGCAGGGGACCUUCGGGCCUUGCGCUAUCAGAUGAGCCUAGGUCGGAUUAGCUAGUUGGUGAGGUAAUGGCUCACCAAGGCGACGAUCCGUAACUGGUCUGAGAGGAUGAUCAGUCACACUGGAACUGAGACACGGUCCAGACUCCUACGGGAGGCAGCAGUGGGGAAUAUUGGACAAUGGGCGAAAGCCUGAUCCAGCCAUGCCGCGUGUGUGAAGAAGGUCUUCGGAUUGUAAAGCACUUUAAGUUGGGAGGAAGGGCAUUAACCUAAUACGUUAGUGUUUUGACGUUACCGACAGAAUAAGCACCGGCUAACUCUGUGCCAGCAGCCGCGGUAAUACAGAGGGUGCAAGCGUUAAUCGGAAUUACUGGGCGUAAAGCGCGCGUAGGUGGUUUGUUAAGUUGGAUGUGAAAUCCCCGGGCUCAACCUGGGAACUGCAUUCAAAACUGACUGACUAGAGUAUGGUAGAGGGUGGUGGAAUUUCCUGUGUAGCGGUGAAAUGCGUAAAUAUAGGAAGGAACACCAGUGGCGAAGGCGACCACCUGGACUAAUACUGACACUGAGGUGCGAAAGCGUGGGGAGCAAACAGGAUUAGAUACCCUGGUAGUCCACGCCGUAAACGAUGUCAACUAGCCGUUGGAAGCCUUGAGCUUUUAGUGGCGCAGCUAACGCAUUAAGUUGACCGCCUGGGGAGUACGGCCGCAAGGUUAAAACUCAAAUGAUUUGACGGAAGGGCG